rnacentral:rRNA from 1 species
CCUACGGGGCGCAGCAGUGGGGGAUAUUGCACAAUGGGGGAAACCCUGAUGCAGCGACGCCGCGUGAGCGAUGAAGUAUUUCGGUAUGUAAAGCUCUAUCAGCAGGGAAGAAAAUGACGGUACCUGACUAAGAAGCCCCGGCUAACUACGUGCCAGCAGCCGCGGUAAUACGUAGGGGGCAAGCGUUGUCCGGAUUUACUGGGUGUAAAGGGAGCGUAGACGGCAGUGCAAGUCUGAAGUGAAAGGCAAGGGAUCAACCCUUGGAAUGCUUUGGAAACUGUGCUGCUGGAGUGUCGGAGAGGCAA